UGGGGAAUAUUGGACAAUGGGCGGAAGCCUGAUCCAGCAACGCCGCGUGAGGGAUGACGGCCUUCGGGUUGUAAACCUCUGUCAGUACCGACGAAGCGAGAGUGACGGUAGGUACAGAAGAAGGACCGGCCAACUACGUGCCAGCAGCCGCGGUAAUACGUAGGGUCCGAGCGUUGUCCGGAAUUAUUGGGCGUAAAGGGCUCGUAGGCGGUUUGUCGCGUCGGGAGUGAAAACAGCGGGCUUAACUCGUUGCUUGCUUCCGAUACGGGCAGACUAGAGGUAUGCAGGGGAGAAUGGAAUUCCUGGUGUAGCGGUGAAAUGCGCAGAUAUCAGGAGGAACACCGGUGGCGAAGGCGGUUCUCUGGGCAUUACCUGACGCUGAGGAGCGAAAGUGUGGGGAGCGAACA
rnacentral:rRNA from 1 species